CCUACGGGAGGCAGCAGUGAGGAAUAUUGGUCAAUGGACGAGAGUCUGAACCAGCCAAGUAGCGUGAAGGAUGACGGCCCUAUGGGUUGUAAACUUCUUUUAUAGGGGAAUAAAAUGUGCCACGUGUGGGAUUUUGUAUGGACCAUAGGAAUAAGGAUAGGCUAACUCCGUGCCAGCAGCCGCGGUAAUACGGAGGAUCCGAGCGUUAGCCGGAUUUAUUGGGUUGAAAGGGAGCGUAGGUGGAUUGUUCAGUCAGUGGUGAAAGUUUGCGGCGCAACCGUAAAAUUGCCGUUGCAACUGGCAGUCUUGAGUACAGUAGAGGUGCGCGGACUUCGUGGUGUAGCGGU
rnacentral:rRNA from 1 species